rnacentral:rRNA from 1 species
UACGUAGGUGGCAGGCGUUGUCCGGAUUUACUGGGCGUAAAGAGCGCGCAGGCGGCCAAGUCAGUCGAAUGUGAAAGCCCCCGGCUCAACUGGGGAGGGUCAUUCGAUACUGCUCGGCUCGAAGACAGGAGAGGGAAGUGGAAUUCCCGGUGUAGUGGUGAAAUGCGUAGAUAUCGGGAGGAACACCAGUGGCGAAGGCGACUACCUGGCCUGUUCUUGACGCUGAGGCGCGAAAGCUAGGGGAGCAAACGGG